GACAGAGGGUGCAAACGUUGUUCGGAAUUACUGGGCGUAAAGCGCGUGUAGGCAGCUCGGAAAGUCGGAUGUGAAAGCCCUGGGCUCAACCUAGGAAGUGCAUUCGAAACUUCCGAGCUUGAGUGCUGGAGAGGAAGGCGGAAUUCUCGGUGUAGAGGUGAAAUUCGUAGAUAUCGAGAGGAACACCGGUGGCGAAGGCGGCCUUCUGGACAGUAACUGACGCUGAGACGCGAAAGCGUGGGGAGCGAACAGG
rnacentral:rRNA from 1 species